ACCGGGUCAGUGUGGAGGUUAUAUACAGGAGGUACCGGUACAGAGUCAGUGUGGAGGUUAUAUACAGGAGGUACCGGGUCAGUGUGGAGGUUAUAUACAGGAGGUACCGGGUCAGUGUGGAGGUUAUAUACAGGAGGUACCGGUACAGAGUCAGUGUGGAGGUUAUAUACAGGAGGUACCGGGUCAGUGUGGAGGUUAUAUACAGGAGGUACCGGUACAGAGUCAGUGUGGAGGUUAUAUACAGGAGGUACCGGUACAGAGUCAGUGUGGAGGUUAUAUACAGGAGGUACCGGUACAGAGUCAGUGUGGAGGUUAUAUACAGGAGGUACCGGUACAGAGUCAGUGUGGAGGUUAUAUACAGGAGGUACCGGUACAGAGUCAGUGUGGAGGUUAUAUACAGGAGGUACCGGGUCAGUGUGGAGGUUAUAUACAGGAGGUACCGGUACAGAGUCAGUGUGGAGGUUAUAUACAGGAGGUACCGGUACAGAGUCAGUGUGGAGGUUAUAUACAGGAGGUACCGGUACAGAGUCAGUGUGGAGGUUAUAUACAGGAGGUACCGGUACAGAGUCAGUGUGGAGGUUAUAUACAGGAGGUACCGGUACAGAGUCAGUGUGGAGGUUAUAUACAGGAGGUACCGGUACAGAGUCAGUGUGGAGGUUAUAUACAGGA